rnacentral:rRNA from 1 species
UACGGAGGGGGCUAGCGUUGUUCGGAAUUACUGGGCGUAAAGCGCACGUAGGCGGCUUUGUAAGUUAGAGGUGAAAGCCUGGAGCUCAACUCCAGAAUUGCCUUUAAGACUGCAUCGCUUGAAUCGCGGAGAGGUGAGUGGAAUUCCGAGUGUAGAGGUGAAAUUCGUAGAUAUUCGGAAGAACACCAGUGGCGAAGGCGGCUCACUGGACGCGUAUUGACGCUGAGGUGCGAAAAGCGUGGGGAGCAAACAGG